UGGUGGUGGUGGUGGCGGUGGCGGUGGCAGUAGCGAUGGCGGCGGCGACGACGGUCACGACGACGGCGACUAUCUGUCUGUAUGCCUAUACGCCUGCCUUCCUGCAUGCCUGUACAUCUCCUCCUCCUGCGGCAGCUCCCCUUCUUCUCCUGCUCCUGCUCCUGCUCCUUAUCCUUCUCCUCUUUUUUCCUCCUUUUCCUUCUUCUUCUCUUUCGUCUCCUUCGUCUCCUUCGUCUCCUUCUUCUUCGGCCUGUCCUCAUCCUCAUCCUACUUCUGUUCCCUCGUCCACCAUACCCUUUGCAUCCCUCCUCUCGCAUCCGCGCGUUCCUCGUGUUCUUCCGUCUUGUCUACGGGUUACAGGAUCCACCUACGCGCCUCCCUUCGACUACCUCCCUUUCUUCUUUCCUUCCUUCCUUUUGUUUUUUUCGCGUCCCUCGCGCGGAAGUUUAUAGCAGAGAAUUUUCCGGUUUCGCCGGCUGCGAGAGUUCAACAAGACUUGCCCGAUCGAGCCGAGACCACGGAGCUUACGCAUAUGCGAUCAAGUAUUGUUGAAUUCGCGACUUUUCCCCCCUUCGUUUCGUCAUAUUGGCGUAAAUUUCUCCAAACGAUUUACUUUCUAAACGUUUUACUUUCACGAGAUAGCUCUGCAGUGUCCAAAUCUCCGCGAUCCCGCUCGAUCGUUUACCUCGCGACAUUUAUCUCAAACAGACACGUAUCGGUUUUGCACGAUUACUAUUGAUAUAAGUUAUUAUUAAUAUACGUUUAUUUACGGAUAAAAUAGUAAUAAUAUAUCGCAAAAAUGAUUACAUGCAUUGCGAUUUUAUUUAUUAAUUUUAUUUUAAAGAACACUCUUGUACAUUCUAUUUACAUGACGACACUUGUUUAUUUACAACACGUCCGUAAACGAUAUGCGACCAAGUUAAAUUUCAUCAUUCCAGAAACACCAUGGAAAUAUAAAAUAGUCAAAUUAUACUGUACAAUCAACGUAUGGGUGUACAUGACUAACAAAUAAAUUAGUAAUCGGAAUAUCAAACAAUCUAUCGGGAUUAUGUGGGCAGGAACGCUAGUCUUAAAAAUGCAAUAUUCGAUUAAGAAUCUUAAAUGGAAGCUUCUUAAUUUCGGCAACAAUCUCGAUAGCAUCUCGUGGAACUGAAUCGCAAAAAAGGUACUUGUGAGAAAGACAGAUAGCUUCGGUCUUACAUAUCUCGCCACUGUCCAAAGACACGGAGGGGGUUGACGUUAAAGCAGCGACUUCCGGUUGUUUCGGAACGUGUUCGGCGCGAGCGGGAAUGAACGAGAUGACGGCCGUUGAAAUGUCUGUCAGAGUCGCGGUAAAUCAUCUCGAGCGACGCGCGUGAGAGACAAGAAAAUUCGGCACGCGAAGACAAUGCGAUAUACACACCGUUCCAGCGACAAGGUGCAAUGGUGAUUGGUGGAUGCACCGCUGGUCCACGUCUCUUUUAUACCUCGCGGCUCGGCGCGGCGCGACCCCCGACAAAGCGGUACCGCCCCCUGGACACGUGACGAUGCUGGAUCUGCCACCAGGGAUACUAUGCGCUCCUUGCAGCGCACCCCGUCGCAACUACCCGCUAGACUACCCCACUACGGAAGCCCGCACCCUCCUCCCGUCCUUCCUCGCGCGGCGAUGCACUAAUUGAUAUCAUUACGCCAAGUCCAAGUAUGUGUGUAGACUUUGCGUCUAUCGCUCGCGCGAUAUGAAUGAUGGGGUAUCUUAUCUCGAUGGCGCGUAACAAUCGUAAAACGAUUGCCCCCUGGCUGUCUUACUCUUUCGACUUACUACUUUGUCAGGUUUCUCUGUUUGCGCGAUUUUGAAAGCUCGAUUGGCUGAUUUUCACAGUCGUUAAUCAUUGGCAAACUUUCUUUAUCAGAGGCUCAAUGAGAAUAAUUUAUGUAUUUGUUGAAAGACUAGGUUGAUCACAUCGGAAUAUCUCUGGAAGCAUAUCGGAAUAUUUUUGGAAUUAUGUCGGCCAUAUUCUUGAACGAUUGUUCAAGUCGAAGAGAAAUGUCAUUGAGGAUGGCUGGGAGAGAUAACGAGAUAGCGAAAAGCAGGAAAGGGAUGCAAGAUAGAAGGAACGCAGGGCGAGGCGCGAUCAUCGGAAGGAUGAAGAAAGAGAGAUGAAGACAGCGAGAGCUUCUUUCCUUUGUGCUUGCAUGAUCUCGUCUUUGAUCAAUCCUUCCACUACAAAAAGUCACCGAUUGAUCGAUCUCGGGAAGUGUCGCGCAGAGAACUUACUCCGGGGAUUGUUCGACUACUAUGCAGUCUAGACUUUCUUCAAUAAACGGCCCACCAGACUGAAUCACCCUUCGUUUAUCAACGGCUGUCUUUGCGCGGAUUUCGAUAACGCGUUCUAGUGAUCGCGUUUCUUGCAAUUUCCCGAUGACACGAGACUCUUGGAGACGCGACCCUUCAUUCAUACUCUGCUGGAAGUCACGAGUCAUCGGCGAUGGACCGACUCGAUAUAGUCGGAGUCAGUCUGUAAGAAAAGACAAAAACUCGCUGGAACAGGAAUGGAAGAAAAUAAAACGCGAAUGUCACCGAUUUGAUCGAUUUAACAUACAGUUGAGAGAAAAGAGAGCAUGCAAAACAACGAAUCGAGAUGCUCUACAACUGGACCUCGAAAGUCGCGGUUGAGAGAUCCCCACUUGGCACGACUGCUUCUCACGCGCAGGCCACGCACUUUCUUCCUUGGAGCAACUUUAUCGAUAAUUCGCUCCUGACGCGAGGAGCGGAUAAAAGAGUGAGAAGCACGAGAAGAGAGGAGAAAACGUUGAGGUAUCUCGCAGCGAGACGGUGCACAUGCAGUGCCUUCCAGCUGCAUCCGCGACACACCUGCCUCUCCUUCGUUCUACGGGAUGUAUAAUGCUGAUGAACGAGCGUGCGAUGAAUGCAGGUUGGCAGGAUGUCCCUGGUCGCGUGAGGAUCGCGUGGCGACAGCUAAACAAUAUAUGUAUUCUAAAAACGAGGCAGAGCGAUAAAGAGAGGAAAAAAACAGCAAGUAUAAGGAACGAUGAUGACGAGGCGAGAAAAAAAAAUGAUUGUACCAAGAGCCAACCACGUCCGCCUGGUAAUUACGAUUACUAUCUAUGAGUAGCCAGUGACUGUCCAAGUAGCGUGAGAAGAACAACCGUUGAAGUUCUCCAUGCGAACUGGUUUCACGCCUCCUGGUUCCGUUUGCAAGUGCACGUAGCCGAUCACGUAGACGUUGCAGAUACUCGGGAGAGGAACUCCAACCUGCCAGAGUUAUCUUCCCCUCGCUAAUCCACGCAUACGUCUCUUCGGAUAGGAAAACAACUGGAUAUCGAUAUUAACUUUAUUGGACGACCAAUUUUUGAAGAAACAAGCACGGGGGAGGCGAAUUACCCGCGCCAUGUUUAGUACAAAGUUAAUCCAAUCUAUCCAACUCUCCGGGACGUGGACGAUGCUCCGUGAUAUCGCAGGAUAUCCGAUCGUUUUUCAUCGCAAUUCAUGAUACAACUAAGAGACAAGCGAAAUAAGGCACAUGUAGUUUAUGGGAAAUGGAUGCGGUCGACAAUUGCCGAAUAAAUGUGGAUCGUUUCGGAAAAAUAGGGAAAAACGAGCGCGGCCAGACCAAGUUGGUUCUCUAUCUUUUCCUCCUUCAGCCAGUGGAGGGAUGCAUCAAGGCCAGAUGAGGCCUGUCCACUAGUAAAAGAGGGCCGAAAAAUGGCUGACAGGCGGAUUAAAUAUAGUUGCCAACGAGGAAAUCAUAGUUUCAGUUUUGCGCCAAGUUCUCUCUCCGCCAAAAUCCAGUGAACCCGUCGCUCUAUUUAGGCCAAGUGGCAUCCCCGUCUACGCUCCAAACAAGACCGUAUCUACUACCGUCGUUACUUGACUUACUUAGCACGAAGAAAAGAAGAGACAAAAAGACUCAAGUACGGUGGAAAACAAUGAAAGGAAAAGGGUCGCUCUUUUUCUCAAAAGUGAAAACGGACGCGUGAGCGUAUAAUCUCGGAAGCAGCAACCGGAGAAUCGGAAGUGAGAAUCGGACAAAGUACGGUAUAGGACGGGGCAGAGAGACCGUACGCUUAGCCCGAUGAGAUGUGGACGUAGAGAUGCAGACGAGGUACACGAACAGAGGUUUAUGCAUACCGAUCGUACGCAUACAUGGACGUCACACGUUCUAACCGCGCGCGAGCGCACCUCCCGCGAUAAUCCUGUGAUGGAUGUCUCUAGGUAGUCGGUAAGCCCUACCAGCCAGACUGUGUUCGGUAUAUCGGUGUGUUUACCCAGACGGAAGCCGUCUGGCGGCGAUAGGGCAACCGACGUCUCCCGCGUGAUGGAGUUCUCUCUUAUCUAUCCGAUGUCAUCAGCGCUAAAAAUAAGAUAAAAUAAGAUAAAAGGAAACAAAAAAAGAUGAAAGAGAGAAAAGGAAAUUUCUCUAAAUAGAAAAGAAAACAAACGGAUAACACGAGAGUAGAGAGAAUUUUUUUCUUCAAGAAGACUCGCAUAGAAAGAAGAAAUAAUUGUGAAAAACUAAAGGAGGUCAAUAGAGAAUAAGGUUUGCCCCGAGCUCCAAUGCGGACUUGUCGAAGCGAUCGAAGGAAGGAUAGACUGAAUCCUCAGUGCAUUCCUGCAGCCUCUACCUCUCUGCAUUACGUAAUAGCAAAACGACCUUGCGUUCCAUCGUAAUGCCUGAGAAUGGCAGAGAACCACGUACAUCUCGCGAUCAACUUCCGCCAAGUCCCUCUAUUUCUCUCUCUUUCUUUUUUUUUCCUUUCAUCGCUAUCAUUGUUUUCGUCGGAAGAGAAAAGAUGCGGCGAAUAAAUAGACGGCGCGGCAAGAAAGAAAAUAAGCGGUGAGAAAUAAAAGGUGAGCGGCAACAACAAGUUUUCGCGAGACACAAUCCCGUGUGUCUCCGUUGUUUUCGCGUAUGCAGUGCGCUUGCAAAACAUGUCUCUCCAUUCGAGAUCAAUGCCAGAUAUAACGUCUACAAAGAAAUAUAAUUAAAGAGAAGUAAAGGGGUAUAAUUUAAGUUAAACCUAAGGCGGAUUAAUUAACUGAUUCCAUCUGGACUUGUCCUGCAGAAUAAAUUGUUUUGCGCAAUUUUUCUCUCGACGAACUGUUUACAUCCUUUAACAUUAUCUUAUUUAGCAAGUUCCGUCUUAUAUACAUAUUGUGUUGAUCGUAUCGGUCGAUCGACGAUUUACGUUUCCGCGGCAAAAAAUCAGAGAGAGAUAUCUCUUUUAUAGACUACGAUUUACGGAAGCAACGGAGAAUCCUUAUUAUGUUAGCCAGUAACUUGAGAUUAUUUAUCGCGUCAUUAAUCAGACGAGUUUUUCCCGCCAGUGAGAAUUGUAAACCGCAAACAGAUGCAAUAUGGAAAUGGAUGUAAAUCGUAAAAGGAGGUGUACGCGCUCGCGUUGUAUCCGUGAAAUGGCAGUCGAUAUUCAGGGAAGUCCAUAAAAUGAAAUCGUUGCAGUUUCCGGAUGCAGUUUGCGAUUAUUUCACGGUCCGAGUGUUCGCUACAAACAUUGAUUGCGGUUUAUGUAUAUAAAGUAUAUUCAAAAAGAUCGUAACAUUUACACGACUAUGAGAAAUCAGACGAGAAAGAGGAAUGCAACUUUGCAAUCUCGUUAUCUACUCCAUCAUUUCAUUGAGAAUUUUCAGACUACUAGUCGCUAAUUUUAUUUUAUGUAUUUUUUUUUAUUUAAAUGCGAUUAUUACGAUUGGCAAAUGAUACAAUGAGGUGAUCGCAACAACAAAUAAAUGUAUUUCGUGCGAGAUGGCAAAGCGCACCUUUGUAAUUCGUAAUCGUACGCACUCGUCGGCCGGUAAAGCACUCAGAUAAAUGAAUCCGCCGAGAUUUUAGCCCCGUUAAAGUACAGCAUGGCCUUGCGUACGCAGAGGCCACGUAACAUAGUCCUCUUCCGCGACGCUUUUAUAUCUCGCGGUUUACUGGCAAUCGUCAUUCGCGGGCUUUACAAUGUGUCUGGUUUACGGGCUCUCAACCGUCUCAACGAGUGUCUCCUUUCCGUUUCUCGGCUCCUCUCUUUCUCCGUCUCUGUCGUUUACGAUAUAGGUCACAUCUCCGUGAAACGCACUCGAGGCUGCAACUCUCCGCGUGAGCGGCGCGCGUAAAGACGACGGUGAUGUAAAAACGAAUCCAAUGUAAAAGCGAAAUGGCUGUCUACGAUGGCAAUGCAACGGUGAACGUCAAUACGCUAGAUAAGAUCAGCGAACGAGAGUGAUCUCGAAUCUUAUUCUGACGAGCGAGUUUUUUCUUCUGCAAGAUUCCUUUCCUUCCUCAAGGCGCGAUAUUAACAAAAAAUUAAAAGCUCGAAAAUAAACUGAAUUUAGUUCUUGCAAUCGUGAAGAAAUAAAAAAAAUAUAGCCGGAUCAGAUAUUUUGUAGAUCGAGAUUUUAAACUCAAACUAAUUUUUUGCAAAGAGAAAGGAGAGAAAAAAGAAUGCAAAUAAUAGACUAGAAUAUCGAUGAUAUAUAAUUUAAAGUCCACUCUUGGAGAGUUUACUCGUUGAUUAAAAAAAGAUUCAGUUUUAUUAAUAUCCUUAGUUUUUAAAUAAAUGACAUUUCCGUCACGUGCGUGAUCAGAAUUUAUUUCAAGACUAAUAUUCUCGUGUUUUGUGCGUACUGUCAUUGCGUCUAAUUGUAUUAAAAAAAAAAAUUGUUAGCCCCAACGUCUACAAGCUACAUAAUGUACAAGGUAUAUUCCACUGUCCUAAAGUGGCGGUGUUUUACGAGCAAAACCUAGCGGGAAAACAUUACGUCUGAUGAACGCGAGGUUGAACGUAUGUUAAAGGAAUUCUUACCGAAGAAAAAAAACCGGGACAUUUCGUAGAGGCAGCAAAACAGUAAAACGCCAGAUGACACGAUGAUGAAGACAGAUGUGCGCGAGCGAGAUGUAAUCCGUUAAAUACGAUACGUUAUAUAUAUAUGCGUUAUAUAUACAUAAUUAAAAUUAAGAUCUGAUUCUUCUAUCGAUAAUGAAAAUCUCCUAUUUCGAUAAUUAAAGUUUCGAAUACAAAUGCACGCUUUCGUUCGAACUUUUCUUUCAAUCUCGCGUUACACACAUUUGUUUAUUUAAAAGAAAAUCAAAGAGAGAUCCCCAUGGGAACCAUGCUACGUAGAAAAUACAGCCUGCGUCUAACAGCGACGAUGCUUUACGAGCAAAAAGCGCGAGCGGCUCUCUAUAUCUAGCGGAAGCAACGGUUUGAACGGCGGGGACAAAUUUGACAAAAAAGAUGAAACGGUGAGGGUGGGGAGGAGAGGGGGGAGGGGGGAGAGAGAGAGAGAGCAGGCUGGGACAACAGGACGAGCAAAUGGGUGGUGAGGCGACAGUGGACAGAAGUACAGACGAGAGAAAAUAACAGUCCCCUUAUAUCCCACCCUUUAAUCCUUUUACGCGCACAAGCACCACCGCCGACUGUAUGCAAUGGGGCAUACGAUGCGUCUAGACAAAAUAAUGAUUUGGAUUUCAAUACAUUUGCAUUCAUUACCCCCCUCUCCUCCUCCCCCUCCUCGGUACCCACCCGCGAUCCGGGCGGUCUCUUCUUUCGCCAUUCCGCAUUUCGCAGAGUUACGCUCGUUAUCAUACGAAUGCUCUGCUCCGCAGCAACGCCGCUCAUUUCGUUCGCCGUCGAAAUGCGACACGACGGGGGCAACCCAGGAUCCAGAUCGGCGCGAUGCGACCGAAGAUAGGGGAGAAAGGGGGGAGAGAUCACGGAUUUCCCGCGAUCGCCCGGCUAAUGAGUCGUGUGUGUGUGUGUGCGCGCGCGCGCGCGCGUGUGUGUGUCGGCUCUUCUUGAUUUGUUUUCCUUUUUCAACACACAUGCGCGUCGCGAGUCUAGUCCGGAUCGUAUUAAAUUAGAAGUAUUUGAUGCGCUAUUUUGAAGUAGAUUAACAAUUCGGCUAUUCUUUCCUUUUAUGAGCACUUGUUAUGUAAUAUGCAACCUAUAUUUGCCGUCAUCUUUUUCAUAUUAGUAAUCAAUUCAAUGAUGAGAUAAAUGUUGGUGAUUUUUCGCGGGAUAAAAAUUAAUAUAAUUAUUAAGCUUAGAUUAAGAAGAACACUCACGGGUUCCGUUAUUCCGUCCCCGUCUUUGCCUAAGGAGUGACCUUCGGACCAACCCAUUUUCGAAAGUAUUUUGAAUCCUUUAUUAUCCUUCGCGAUCGAUCUGAUUGAAUAAAUAUCUGCGUUAGAACUUUGGAAUAUUUAUACAGGACGCGUUUAUCUUUUUAUCUAAAUAUUAUAAUGUACUCACGUGUGGACAGAA